UUAUAUCCCUUGUUGGAGGAAGCACUAGACGAGGAUGAAAGGGACAUGCCAAUCAGUCCUCCCUUUCUGAGGCAUCGCCUGCGUGCUAAACAAAUACAAACAGACGAUGUUAGAACUCAAGGACAUUUCUUUCUUCCUCUCUAACUCUGGUUUUCACACCCACAAAGGAGAUAGAUAUUGAUUGUUAAGAGAAAGGGGCACUAGAGGGUCUUUGUGCAGCCCAGAGUGCGAGAGCUGGGGCAGCUUUAGAAGAAAAUAAAAAAUGCAACUAGGAUCACAAACAUCGGCGAGGGCUCCACUUCAAAACUAACUUUUUGUAAACUUGGUGUUUAAAAGAAGGGAGGAGGGGAGGCAAACAGUGCUAAUCUGCCAAGCCCCUUCUGUCCCGCCAGAGUAGCAGGAAGGAAAAGCCAAACAUGGGUCUUCAAAUGAAAUCGCUGGGUUUUUUUGUUUUGUUUUUUUGUUUGUUUUGUUUUUUUAAUUUCUGUUUCCCUCCCUCUCCUACUUCCACACAACUGGCGGUUCACCCCUUUAAGAGCUCCAAGUGGCCUUCCAAAAAGAAAGCCCUUCAAGGAAAAACGGGCACACAUUCCCAUUCCAGGCACCUUGCCAAAAUCUUCCAAGCACCCUACCUGGCAUACUAGCUUAAGUUUCUUGAAGAAGUGGGGGAAAUUACAGUCGACUUGUAGUAGUUGAGACAAGUUCAGUGCUCAGCUCCCCCCCUCGAACGAGACUCGGGAUCUCUGUGGAAGGCGCCCAGUUGCGAGCCAGCCAGGCUGGAGGUUUGAGACACAGCACAGCAAUGACUCCCCUCCCUUGUGCAAAGGAUUUGCCUUCCCCCCCCAGCCUUCACACUCUAGCCAGCAUAGAUGCCCAGGUGCAAGGUGAAGCAGUAACCGUAGAUGGAAUGGAAAGUAUUGGACUGAGAUCUUAAUUUCCUCUCUACAACUGGAGGAAGAAUCUUUCAGUAUGUAAUCAAUUGCAGACACAGAAAAAUUAUGUGUGCAACAGAAUAAAGACAACCAUGUCAGAGAACGUUGACUUCAUCAGGCAAGACCCCACUAUAUUUUUGAAUGUUCCAGUACAGUACUACACAUAUAUGGAGUAUAUCUGGUACAAUAAGUGAGUAACUGGUUGGUUCGAAAUGAAAAGCCCCUUCAAGGCAGUGUCUGUUGGGCUGCAGUUAAAUGUGACAUUUGUUUUAAAAAACAACAAAACAAGAUAAAAGCAUAAGCUCUGGUGUUGACUCAAUUAGAUGUAUGACUCUGGAGACAUACAAAAAUUAUAGCUUCUCUACCAAAACCAAAUAUGGAAGUUUUCCCUUGUAUAGAUUUUCUGCCAGUUGUUCAAAGCAAGUUACUUUUCUCCAAGAGAACCUGCUUCAGUACAAAAAAAAAAAAAAGCACAACCUACUGCACACCCCUAGAAAUCACCUAUCAUCUGAUACUUGAACCCAUAUGGGGCAU